rnacentral:rRNA from 2 species
GGGACGGGUGAGUAAUGUCUGGGAAACUGCCUGAUGGAGGGGGAUAACUACUGGAAACGGUAGCUAAUACCGCAUAACGUCGCAAGACCAAAGAGGGGGACCUUCGGGCCUCUUGCCAUCGGAUGUGCCCAGAUGGGAUUAGCUAGUAGGUGGGGUAACGGCUCACCUAGGCGACGAUCCCUAGCUGGUCUGAGAGGAUGACCAGCCACACUGGAACUGAGACACGGUCCAG